rnacentral:lncRNA from 1 species
UGAAAUCAAGAAAAAGGGUUAUAAUUUUUCUCAAUCCAAACUCAUCUUUCUCAAUUCAAGAAUGAAAUUGAGGAAAAAUUUUAAGGUUUGCUUAAAUUCCACUUUUAUUCUAUUUCAAUUACUACAUACAAAAGUUUGAGUAUUGAUUUCUUGUUACCUUCCUAGUACUCCAUCAGUUUCUCUCUCUUUGAUUUUUUAUAUAUUUUUUGAGUUUUUGCAUUGUAUUUGAUUCUAAACGGUGUUGAAUUUGUUGUUGGUUUUAGAUGUGGCCAAACCUUAUUCAAAAAUUGGAGGACUUUAUGUCAUCGAAACUAUGUUUCUGAACUUACAUGAACCAGUUAACCAGUUAAAGGUCAGAUUUUGUUUUCUUAAUUUGUUCUAUCAUAUUCUGACCGUUUUCUUUCAUAUUCCUAAGCCUUUCAGCAUUGCAUUGGUAAUGUUUGAAGGAAAAGUCUGCAUUGCUUGCAGCUUUAAUUAGUAGUUAUAAGAAAAGAAAACAAGUGUGUAUAUCAAACUGAAUUUCUAAUUAUUGAAAGCACUUAUAUGCUAUAAGCACUUAAAUAGAAAUGCCUUAUUUUCCUGGGGUCUUCAUUCAUGUCCUUAUUAUGAUGGUUUAUCAAUCAUAUGGUGUUGUGCCUACAAAAAACACAUAAAUGUAAGAAUUGGUGAUUUAUAUUAAAUCUUGACUAUAUCAGUAGGAGAAAGAAAAAAAGGAACCAAUACCUUUAAAAGUUAUGAACAUGUAAUAUUAUGAUUUAUGCUUUCAGAAUAAUAUGGGACCUGUUAAACAAAUAUAUUGAAUCAGAAACUUCCAUAAUAUGAAUAUAAAUGUUCAACCAAAAGUAAAGAGUACUUUUAUUUAUUUGGACCUGAUUUACUUCAACAAAAUAUUUUUGAUUUGGAUUGAAGGGAGCUAAAUUUGCUUGAAUUCUCUAUUGUGUGUCAAUCCCAUCAAUGAUCUGAGAUGUAGAAAACUCAGCUUUUUCAGUUUCUUGAAGUCUAGAAAGACACAGACCCUGCCACAACAAAUAUAAAAUUAGACAUACAUGCUAUUACAUUUAACUAGAGAAAAUAAACUUGUAAAUUUUCAAGGUCACCUCUUCUUGGCUGAGAUAACUGUUACUCUUUUUGUUUCUAUUUUGUGUUUUCUUUCUUAAAACCUUCUUCUGCACAAUUUGAUCAACUUUAGAAGCCUUCCUUUUUGAGGGAGGACGCCUUUACUUCGAGUUGCUGUAGGAUCAACAAUUUUAGCCAUCUGAUUUUGAACUAAACCGUCUUCUUCUAUAAUGACAGAAGAACUUCCUUCACAGUUUAAAUCAAUUUUCAAUUCGUUGAUCCGAUUCAUCACUUUCAAUAAAUCAUCUUCAGUAUGUAUCCCCAUAGAAACAACUUCGUAAAAGGCAUCACAUGCUUUACCAACUAGUUGCAAUUCAACAUUUCCGGCUAAAUGAUCAAACCCACAUUUAAUAAGUGUGUGUCUCCACUUAAUAUCAUUCCUCCACCUUGACAAAAUAUAACAAGACGACACUGACUCAGUUUUACCUGUGAGCUGAAGAACACAAAGGAUGUGUCUGCAUAAAAUGCCUUUAAACUCAAAUAAGCAGCAAGCACAUUGUAUUUCGAAGUCUUUCUCAUUGAACAGCCAAGAAAAGGUUUUCGUAUCCUCAUUCGACAAUAGGGCACAACCUAACAAAACUGAUUGACUGUGAUGAUUGACUCCAACAAAAGGGGCAAAAGGCAUGUCAUAUUUAUUUGUUAAAUAAGUGGUAUCAAAAGUUAUGAUUUCACCAAAAUACUCAUAAGUAGCCCUACUUCUCGCAUCUACCCAGAAUACAUUUCGCAAACGACUUUUGUCAUCCACAUCCAUCACAUAAUAAAAUUGACUAUUUUUCAUUUGCAUUAUGACAAAAUAGUUUUGAAUAGCUUCAACAUCUCCUAUCCCAAGUCGAAGUCGUCUUACUUUGUCCAUGUAAUUUCUACAAUCUUUUUCUCCAAAAGUAAGAUUAUCAUAUCCAUUUGCUUCAACAACCAUAUAUCGGAAAUUUCUGCUUACAUUAAUACCAGCUUGAUCAUUAAUAUCCAACCUCCUUUUUGUAUGAGGAUCCAAAUUCUUAUUGCAUCUAAAAUAUAUAGAUUUUGUUGGGCUUAAUUCAUGACUAUGCUCAAGAGCAACUUUUGUAAUUGCAAUUUUUUCAUCUAAAGACUGACACAUAUUUACUCUAGCCAUACAUUGUGCUCUUAUGAUAGGAUUUGGUUUCAAAAGGUUCUUUGUGUUACUCACAUAGCUUCUUGCACAAGUACAUCCUAGAGUAAAGUAUUUUUUUUUUCCAUCCUUUGCAUUUUUUGAAUUGAUUUUAACAGUUCCAAAACCCAUACAUCUAGCAUAGCUCUUAUAAUAUCUGGUAACUUCUUCUUCAUAAUUAAAUGUCAUCCCAAUCCUAGAUUCUUCAUUUGCUUGAACAAUAUUUGCUUCUAAAUUUUAAUCACUAUUUUCAUUUAGGUGAUCAACCUCCUCUUGGACAGAAGAAGUAGAUCCCGUCUCCACUAAUGCAGAAAAUUUUACAAAACACAAACUUAAACUAAUCAACUAAAUUAACAAGUGGAUAUAACAUGAUUUCUAUAUAUCUAACUAAAUAAAAUAGAAGACAAAAAAAAAAAAAAUAAGCCAAAUUAUUCCUACUUACUUGUGGAAUUGAAUGUUGAAACAGGGGAAUCAAAGUAAGGUGAUGUUUGAGGAGGGAGAUGCAGCGAUGCAGUUAUCGUUGUGCGGCGAGAAUCGUGGCGGUGAAUGCAACAUCGGCGAUGGUAGAGCAGACAACAACGGCGACGAAACGACAAAGGCUUGUAGACUUGGUGGUGAGAUCAACCAAUUAGUGGCAGUUAAAUUGCAUUUGGCGCUGCAAAC